rnacentral:lncRNA from 1 species
UCUCAACAAAUUCAGUUUUACAGUGUCAAAAAAGGGAAAAAAAAUUAAAGCUCUCUGUGCAAGAAUCACUGUAACAGUCCUCCAACCCCAACCCUUAAUUCUUAUUAGAUUUAUAGAUUUUAGGUUAACAUUGGGUCCUCUUCUUUGAUUACUGUUCUUCAAGCCAGGAUGGAGCAUCUGCUCCAGGAGUUUUCAAUUUGAUGUGAAACUGUUGAAGUGUCUGUUCAAGCUGCUUUUGAUUCCCAGCGAAGUACGCUGCAAUAGCAUUGUGGAACAGGACAAGCUGAUUGUGCAAGACCUUCACCUUAUUUUCUUCCAGAAAUUUCAAUUUGAUAGAUACGUCGUUACGCAUUUUGUCAUAUUUCUCUUUAUGCACUUGAAACAUCUGUUGUGAUUGCUCAAUCUUUGGUAGAGUGCUUGCAUCACGAGGACCAAGAUUCAGCUCUUCCAGGUCUGUUCGAUAAGCAUCAUAUUCAAUCCUGGCACUUUCAUAUUGUUUCACAGUCAAUAAUGUAUCCUCAAUUGUUUUAUUCACCAAUGUAUUCACACUGGCAAUAAAAAAGUUAAUAGCCCCGAGAAGAGUCUCUCCAUUUUUAGCUAGAAGUUUCUGCGUAUCUGCAUUGUAGCCAAACUCCUCAUGAAGUUCCAAUGAUUUCAAACUCAGGUCAGCAAAAGCAUCUCCAAGUUGCCUUUGGGUAUGUACCAUCUGGAAGAGCUGUGUAGACAGAGUCUGUGCCAGUUUCAAGAUAUUUUCAUACUUUUUUUUGUUAUCUCUCAAUAUAUCUAUUUGAGCUUCCAAUUCCAGAUCUACUGUUCUUGAGCCACGACCCAGUUUUUCAGAGAUGAUCUGACGUGUACACUUGUAAGUAUUUAGGCUCCACUUUCUCACCAAUUCCAACUUUUCCAUUGCUGGAUUCUUUACUUCAUCUAACACAACCGGUCCACUCUUCUGCUGAGCUCUACCCCCUUGUCCAGCCAGUCUGCUAGCUGCUGCGCUGCUGGCAGAUAUAACAGUUGAUUUGGGUGAUGCUGAGGAACCUUUCCCUGGAAAUGUUCCUGCCUCAACAACUCCCUCUUUGGUGCUGUCAAAGUCAUGAGACGUUAUUUUGGUUUCAGAGAGCCCAAGUCCAGCUGGUAAUGAACGUUUCAAAUCCCUAUUAAAGCUGUGCUCAUGAGAAUCUUCCAGCUGUCCAUUGCUUGUCACAGGAAUUUCAGCUGCUGAAUUUUUGGGAGACUCUUGAGCCAUUGCACCUUCCUCAGAGUCAGACUGGACCUCUUCUCCAGCUGGAUGAAUUUCAUCAAGUGCUGUGGAUUCAUUCCUGUGUUCUG